rnacentral:rRNA from 1 species
UACGUAGGGUGCAAGCGUUGUCCGGAAUUAUUGGGCGUAAAGAGCUCGUAGGCGGUUUGUCGCGUCUGCUGUGAAAACCCGAGGCUCAACCUCGGGCCUGCAGUGGGUACGGGCAGACUAGAGUGCGGUAGGGGAGAUUGGAAUUCCUGGUGUAGCGGUGGAAUGCGCAGAUAUCAGGAGGAACACCAAUGGCGAAGGCAGAUCUCUGGGCCGCAACUGACGCUGAGGAGCGAAAGCAUGGGGAGCGAACAGG